GUGUAGUUUAGUGUUAGAAUGGUUGCCUGGCAUGCAUUAGGCCUUGGGUUCAACCCCAGCAC
rnacentral:tRNA from 1 species